AAGAGAUACGUCGCCCAGGCACCGGAUGAACUCUCCUUUGAGGUGGGAGACAUCGUGUGCAUUAUUGAUAUGCCACCAAAGGAGCUGACGCCCCUGGUGGAGAGGCAAGCAUGGCUUCCAGGUGGGAUUUUUCCCUGGCGAGUGUGUGGAACUGAUUACUAACCAAGUUCCCGAUGCUCUCGUCAACUCAGUGCCAAAGCCAG